GGCCUGGUAGCUCAGUCGGUAGAGCAGCGGAUUGAAAAUCCGCGUGUCGAUGGUUCGAUUCCGUCCCAGGCCACCA
rnacentral:tRNA from 1 species